rnacentral:rRNA from 1 species
CCUACGGGUGGCAGCAGUGAGGAAUAUUGGUCAAUGGACGAGAGUCUGAACCAGCCAAGUAGCGUGAAGGAUGACUGCCCUAUGGGUUGUAAACUUCUUUUAUAAAGGAAUAAAACGAGGCACGUGUGCCUUUUUGCAUGUACUUUAUGAAUAAGGAUCGGCUAACUCCGUGCCAGCAGCCGCGGUAAUACGGAGGAUCCGAGCGUUAUCCGGAUUUAUUGGGUUUAAAGGGAGCGUAGAUGGGUUGUUAAGUCAGUUGUGAAAGUUUGCGGCUCAACCGUAAAAUUGCAAUUGAUACUGGCAGUCUAGAGUACAGUUGAGGUAGGCGGAAUUCGUGGUGUAGCGGUGAAAUGCUUAGAUAUCACGAAGAACCCCGAUUGCGAAGGCAGCUUACUAAACUGUGACUGACAUUGAUGCUCGAAAGUGUGGGUAUCAAACAGGAUUAGAUACCCGUGUAGUC